GUCUCGCCAUGCUGCUCCUGGGCCUGCUGCUGCUGCUGCCCCUGCUGGCUGGCGCCCGCCUGCUGUGGAACUGGUGGAAGCUCCGGAGCCUCCACCUCCCGCCUCUUGCCCCGGGCUUCUUGCACUUGCUGCAGCCCGACCUCCCAAUCUAUCUGCUUGGCCUGACUCAGAAAUUCGGGCCCAUCUACAGGCUCCACCUUGGGCUGCAAGAUGUGGUGGUGCUGAACUCCAAGAGGACCAUUGAGGAAGCCAUGGUCAAAAAGUGGGCAGACUUUGCUGGCAGACCUGAGCCACUUACCUCCCCCAACUCCUCCUGCAGACAAGCUGGUGUCUAGGAACUACCCGGACCUGUCCUUGGGAGACUACUCCCUGCUCUGGAAAGCCCACAAGAAGCUCACCCGCUCAGCCCUGCUGCUGGGCAUCCGUGACUCCAUGGAGCCAGUGGUGGAGCAGCUGACCCAGGAGUUCUGUGAGCGCAUGAGAGCCCAGCCCGGCACCCCUGUGGCCAUUGAGGAGGAAUUCUCUCUCCUCACCUGCAGCAUCAUCUGUUACCUCACCUUCGGAGACAAGAUCAAGGACGAC
rnacentral:sRNA from 1 species